rnacentral:tRNA from 1 species
GCGCUCGUGGUGAAACGGAUAUCAUCCGACUCUCCGAAGGUCGUGUUCCAGGUUCGAUUCCUGGCGAGCGCGCCA